AGGUGCCAUUGAGCUGGGAGAGGCUCCCCCCAAUAAGGUGGAUGGUACAGUCCCACACACAUGAAGGUGCCAUUGAGAAGCCGGGAGAGGCUCCCCCCAAUAAGAGAGGGAAACAGCAGUUCCCGGUCAGACCCACUUGCUGCUGACUGACUCUCCUUCUUCGCUACAAAGUGCUGAGAGGUACCAGUUGCCCUGCAGAGCCGGGGGGAGCAGUUCUACAAAGUAAUGGGUUCCGGCCCCCAGGGAUGUGUUCCUAUAAGGCAAUGAGAAUCCUCUUGGAUUUGGCUGAUUCAUUGGCCCAGAAUCCUCUGCUGCAGUGGAGCAGGGAUAAAUCCGUCUGUAUAGGAGGAGCUGCCUUUCAGACGGAGACAAAGCCCAGCUGAUAUCACAGCAGCUUCUCUGCCACAGGGAGGGCAGCGACCAACCGUCUUGCACCUUGACUGCAGCAUCCUGGUACCCACAGUGAUAAUGCUGGACACACUGAGCAGCCAGUACGACUCUUUCCUCUUCUGGAAGCUUCCAAUUCCAGAGUUGGACCUCUCUGAACUCGAGUGCUUAGGCCUCGAAGACAGCAAGACCCGCCGAGCCAAGACCUCAGCAGACCAGAAGAAGAAGGAGGACGGGGAAGAAUAUCUGUCCCAGUAUAACGCCUUCAAUUUCUGGAGGGCUCCCAUUGCCAGCAUCGAUACCUUCGAUUUCGACCUCUUUUAAAACCCUUUCACCCAGCCAGCUGCCUUCUCAGCUUUGGUCAUUCACAAACCAUAUGUAUUUAUUAUUUAAUUUAUUUUUAUUGCAGGACCCCGGCGGUCUUCCUUAUUUUGUUUGAGCAUUUCAUAGCCAUCUUUCUAUGUGUUGAUAGACUCAAAGCACUUAUUUACUUGUUUAUAUCAUUUUUAAAACUACCGAUAAAAAAACCAUCAAAUACAUUGCAAACAAA